CCUACGGGGGGCAGCAGUAGGGAAUAUUGCGCAAUGGACGAAAGUCUGACGCAGCGACGCCGCGUGGGUGAUGAAGGCUUUCGGGUCGUAAAGCCCUGUCACGAGGGACGAAAGAGCCUAUGGCUAAUAUCCAUGGGCAGUGACGGUACCUCGGGAGGAAGCACCGGCUAACUACGUGCCAGCAGCCGCGGUAAUACGUAGGGUGCAAGCGUUGCUCGGAAUCAUUGGGCGUAAAGAGCGUGUAGGUGGCUAGAUAAGUCAGAUGUGAAAUCCCUGGGCUCAACCGAGGAAGUGCAUUUGAAACUAUCUAGCUCGAGGAUGGCAGAGGAAGGUGGAAUUCCUAGUGUAGAGGUGAAAUUCGUAGAUAUUAGGAGGAAUACCGGUGGCGAAGGCGGCCUUCUGGACCAUUCCUGACACUGAGACGCGAAAGCGUGGGGAUC
rnacentral:rRNA from 1 species